CGAAGGGGGCUAGCGUUGUUCGGAAUUACUGGGCGUAAAGCGCGCGCAGGCGGUUUUUCAAGUCAGUGGUGAAAGCCCGGAGCUCAACUCCGGAACUGCCAUUGAAACUGUGAAACUUGAGGAUGAGAGAGGUGAGUGGAAUUCCCAGUGUAGAGGUGAAAUUCGUAGAUAUUGGGAAGAACACCGGUGGCGAAGGCGGCUCACUGGCUCAUUUCUGACGCUCAGGCGCGACAGCGUGGGGAUCAAACAGGAUUAGAUACCCUGGUAGUCCACGCCGUAAACGAUGAAUGCUAGCCGUUGGGCAGCUUGCUGUUCAGUGGCGCAGCUAACGCAUUAAGCAUUCCGCCUGGGGAUACGGCCGCGAAGGUU
rnacentral:rRNA from 1 species